GAUCAUGGCUCAGGACGAACGCUGGCGGCGUGCCUAACACAUGCAAGUCGAGCGAGGAGAUCCUCGGGAUGAUCCUAGCGGCGGACGGGUGAGUAACACGUGGGCAACCUGCCUCAUAGAGAGGAAUAGCCUUCCGAAAGGGAGAUUAAUACCUCAUAACAUUGCAGUUUCGCAUGGAACAGCAAUUAAAGGAGUAAUCCGCUAUGAGAUGGGCCCGCGGCGCAUUAGCUAGUUGGUGAGGUAACGGCUCACCAAGGCGACGAUGCGUAGCCGACCUGAGAGGGUGAUCGGCCACAUUGGGACUGAGACACGGCCCAGACUCCUACGGGAGGCAGCAGUGGGGAAUAUUGCACAAUGGGGGAAACCCUGAUGCAAGCAACGCCGCGUGAGUGAUGACGGCCUUCGGGUUGUAAAGCUCUGUCUUCAGGGACGAUAAUGACGGUACCUGAGGAGGAAGCCACGGCUAACUACGUGCCAGCCGCUGC
rnacentral:rRNA from 1 species